CUUUAGUUGUUUGACGGGUGCGCGGUGCGUUCGGUUUGUGCGUGUGUGUGUGCCAUGCUGUGUUCUGCAAUGCUUCGUUACCACGUUUAUCGAUUAUGCACGUUGGUUGCGUGAUUCAAUGUCAAGUGUACCUUCCAAGACGAUCUAGGUCCUAGUCUCGUGACUGACGGCGAGUGCAGACGUACAGCAGCCUUUUGACAAGACUGUCGCCGAGUGUACGGUACAUUGUGGACUGUAAAACUGAAGAGUGCACAGUGGAUGCCUGAUUUUGGAACCGAGUGUGAUCGUCUGUGCGGCGUGUUCACUCUGCGGGGAUGAUGGCCAGAGGAAGGAUGAUAGACAGACGACAGCUUGCAGAAGAAGAUGGGAGCGUUCUACCUGUGAGCCUGGUCCAGCUUAUAUUUUAUGGAUACACAUGCAUGGAUACACAUACAUGGAUUCCCUACAAGGACCCUGCGCAUCAAAAGCAAUCUGUCAUCAAUGUUAAGUAGACAGAUUAAACGAAACGAAGAUAUG